GUUUGGAUCAUUAACGUUAGGGGCGCAUAGCCUGGCUGGCUGGCUGCAACCCGGGGUAGCUCCCCGGGAUGCGGCUGGCUGGCCUAGUAAAAACCCCACCCCCCGGCUCGUCAAGCUCUGUACUCAUCCCGCGGCCUUCGGGCCCAGUGACUGGCGAAGUAGCAGGCCUCGCGGCUCGCGAAAAGCUGGCUGAACAAGCUUGGUGCGCCUUCCCAGCCCACGUCCCAGAGUAGCUCUCCGGGACCGGGCAGGGAGAAGCCGGCUUCAGAAGCUCAGUACUCAAUCCCGCGGCCCUUCGGGCACAGUGACUGGUGAAGUAGCCCGCGACCAGGUAGCCCUGGUUGCUGGCGAAACGCUGGCUGAAACUAGCUUCUGCGCCUUCUGAACCUGGACCUGGGAGUCGCUCCCCGGGACCAGGCGAGGAGAAACCUGGCUAGAACGAGAGCGCUUAAUCAGCGCUGCCUCCAGAGGCAGCAAAGACCAGCGAGCUAAUGGGCCUAAUGAACCCGGCGGCUAGCAGGCUGAGCUCAAGUUUAACCGGACCGGGCCAAGGAUGGCGGGGCACCCGCUUGACUAUCCCGGCAAAGCCUUAGGAAGACGACGUCUCUUAAUCGCCCUCGGGCGAGCGCUGCGAAAGCCAGGUCCCGGCUCAUUACCGGGCGGCCGAGCUUGCUUGAGACCUCUCGCGCUGCCUGACCAGGUAACCUGCGCCUAGGGUAGCCCCGAAGCGCCGUUCCUGGCAUAAAAACAGCCCGUACUGGUGAACCUGCGGGUGGCUUCAGCGUGGCAACACGCUGCUGCCGAUGCCUAGCCCCCCCCCUCGGGGGAGGCGAAGCACGAGAGGGUCGGGGGGGGAAACCCCUGCCCCUGCCUCGGGAUGAGAUAGUCUGGGCUUAGCGGCUCUGGGCGCUCUCGACCUGGGUGCUUAAAACCUCAAAAAUCGUACACCGUUAGGCGAUGGAUUGCUUGGUACCCGCUUCGACGAAGAGCGCAGUGAAACGCGAUAACGCUUGUGAUUCGCACUCUCUGUGAUCAUCGUUCCCUCGAACAACGUGCGGCCUUGCUUCGGCACUGGCCCCCCUGACUAUGCUGAUGGUUUAACAAUAUUACAUGAGCCUGCCAGCCCAACCCCGCCAGGACCCUUUUGGGGACCAGGCGGAAAGGGACGGCAGCAGGUGUACACUGCCUUGGCGCCUCGCGGCUACCCUCGGUUAAAUUCACAUCCCUACCUGAUACUGGCCCGUCCGCUGAUAACCCCACCGCAGGAAUGCACCGGGAGUAAGGCGGGCUACCAAUGAGGGUUCCUCUAGUAAGCAUCCUGGCAAACAGACCCAGUUUCAAGCAGCUUCCCCACCGGCUCAAAGGUGCCACCGGGGCAAUGCUAGGCGAGGACGAUAAAUCCAUGCCCCGGCUCGAUACACAAGCUGUGGGACUAAGUAGCUAUAGGAGCGCUGGCCGAGGACCCGACCGAAGACUGUAGCAAGUUAGGGCGUUCACCCGCUAAAUUUAAGCAUAUAAGUCAGCGGAGGAAAAGAAAUCAAUAGAGAUUCCCCAAGUAGCUGCGAGCGAAAAGGGAUUAGCCCGAGACCGAAUCCCCUCUGACCCUUGCGGACUAGGGACCUGUAGUCCAAGGCUGGGACCUGCGAUGGCGGAGCUUGUAGCAGACGGGAUGAUCUCCCGGAGCACAGGGCGUUACACACGACCUGACAGGCCGAGCCAGCAAGGGUUUCAACCGUGAGUAGGCUAGCUUGAAAGUGCUGGCUGAAUACGGGUGGUGCUGAUCAUCCAAGGCUAAAUACGACAGCGUGGUAACCGAUAGCAGACAAGUACCGUAAGGGAAAGCUGAAAAGCACCUCGGCUGAGGAGCUAAAAGAGCAUGAAAUCCGUCUAGCGUGAACCAGAAAGCCAGUUUCCUUACGGGCGGCCGGUGGGGGUGAUUCCCUGCCGCAUGGCCGCCUACUGGAGGUGCCGAUCACCGAGAGAGCUCCGUGGUGAAUGGGUGGGGUGGACCGGCUGAGGCUGGCUCGCACCGCCCGUGUGAUCCGCAGUGACCUUCGGGCUGAGGGCUUACGUCCGCGAGCAGUUCGCUGCAAAACGGCGUAAUACGCAUCUAAAAACUGGGGGCUCUGACCCGUCUUGAAACACGGACCAAGGAGUCUAACGUACAUGCAAGUCGUCCAGCCUUCAAGCUGCUCGGCGAAGCUCAUGCAAAAGCACCAAGGAAUCCUCUGGGUCCCGCACUGCUCUCCUUGCAGACUUCGGGCCGGCCCUGGAGUUUGAGCAUGUAAUGUUAGGUCCCGAAAAACGACGAGCUAUACUUGGGUAGGCUGAAGCCAGGAGAAAUCUUGGUGGAAGGCCGUAGCAGUACUGACGUGCAAAUCGUUUGUCAAAUCUGAGCAUAGGGGCGAAAGACCAAUCGAGUCGUUUAGUAGCUGGUUUCCAC
rnacentral:misc_RNA from 1 species